rnacentral:lncRNA from 1 species
GACAUGAAAACUCUCUCCCCCCUUUCUCCUUUCUCCCUUCUCUUUUACCAGCAACUAUGGUCUUACGUAUAUGUUCAUUUGCUCCGAUUAAAACCCUAGCUUUCUCUUUGCCGCAGUCCCCUUUUUCUGUGUGUGGCGCCUUUCUAUUAGGUCCGAAACCCUAAUCUCUGAUCGCUCUCUCUCUCUCUCUCUCUUAAUCUCUCUCUCUCUCUCUCUCUCUCUCUCUAUGGUUAUUGUUUUCUUCUGCUCCAUAAUUUUGUGAGUGUUACUCCACAAUCGCUUGAUUUCCUGGAUCAGAGUUUCAAAUCCAUGUUAUUUUUCGACCUUUGAGGUUGGCUUAGGGUGGAGUGGCGGAUCUGUUGUAGUGUUCUCUGACGACGACAACGGUUUGGAACUACGAGGCAUCGAAGGCGUUCGAUGGGGCAGGGGAGAGGCCCUGAGCCUAGAGCAUUGGUGCUCGCAGAUAAUCAACCAGAUGGAAAAACUGAUUGGAGAAGUUGAGAAGAUUUGCUGGCCUCAAGGAUACCCAUUUUUUCACGGCAGUCAGUGGUGAAUAACUUCCUCACAUUCAACACUUCAAACAUAAAUUUGCAUGCAUUGGAUGUAUAGGAUUCGAAAGCACAAGUUAGUGCAAUUCAUUUGAUAAUUGAGGCUCUCCAGAGGAUGCAUUUAUUUGGUGUUGAGAACAGAGAUUUUUAACUCACAAUGCCACAGGGAAGCCAGACAAGUUGGUUUACAUUGCCACCUAUGAUAUUCUUUAGAGAUUUCAAAACCUCGGCGUAAUACUCUGAAAAUUGAUGACAAUAUGGCCUUUCUUGAUUACAGAAACAAUACAAGGUUCAAAAGGAUGAUCUGCUUAAUUUUUCGUGUCAGAUCAGGAGAACGCCAAUUGAGGAACUUUGCCUUCAGUCUAUGAUAGGUCACUGCUCAGGUGCUUUUGGGGGAUUUGGAAGCUAAUGCUAGAGUGUAAUCCAUACAAACAGGCUGGCUCCAUCAUUCCCCAAACCAAUUUUCUUGGAGAAUAUCACUUGCAGUCUUGACUAUGAUCUAUGAAUUGCAGAUGUGAUCUGUGUUUAUGUGGCUUGUUUAUGUAGUCAUCCAUGGAGGAGAAAUGGAAGUUGCAGAUAUCAUGCCUAGAAUUAAGGCUGUUAAUUUUUUUUCUUUCACAAAAGUGAUUUGAUAACAAUUAUACAGUUUGUAUAUUAAUUUUUUUUUUAAAUUUGAAAUAUUGCAGUCACCAUUGUUAGAUAGUGUGUUUUAUGAUGAUGGGGCCCACAGUUUGAA